AGCUGUCGGAAGGUGGCGAGCCUGAGGCGAACAAUGGCGGAGCUGGGCGAAGCCGAUGAAGCGGAGUUGCAGCGCCUGGUGGCCGCCGAGCAGCAGAAGGCGCAGUUUACUGCACAGGCCACGUGCCCGUAGAAAAGAUACUCAUCCACUGUGGGUUUUGGUGUCGCCGUCACCCCACUGCCUCACUGGAUUGUGAGGAUCAUAUGCGACAAUGUAUUUGAAAACGACUAGAACAUUAUCGGAGGAAGGUGGACUCUGAAGUAGUCGCUGUAGACUAUGGAUGUAGAACAAGGGUUUGGAGCCCUUCGGACAUGGUUCUAACGCGGCCUGACUUCUUGCUGGCUACAUGACCUUGGACUACAUAAUCACGCCUCUUAAAUGGGAGGUGAUGACAGCUAUCCUUGAGGACCUUAGAGAGAACUGAUUUCUUAGUACCCAGCCUCACAAAUAGUAAGCUCUUGGUGCAUCACUUCAUGGAGUUAUGUUGGGAUAAAUGUGUGGAGAAGCCAGGGAAUCGCCUAGACUCUCGCACUGAAAAUUGUCUCUCCAGCUGUGUAGACCGCUUCAUUGACACCACUCUUGCCAUCACCAGUCGGUUUGCCCAGAUUGUACAGAAAGGAGGGCAGUAGGCCAUCCCCCAGGAGAAUGACAGAAGCAAAGGACUUGUUACUAAGCAGAUUUAAGGGUCAGUGGGGGAAGGCUAUCAACCCAUUGUCAGAUCAGCAUCAGGCUGUUAUCAAGUCUGUUGGUGCUAAAAAGUAAAAGAUGAAAUGUUCAAAGAGUGAAAUUUAUUUAUUUGGAAUUCAGAAAUUCCAGGUUGUAUGACAUCAGUUACUCAAUAAGUGUGAAUUCUCCAACUCUUCUUUUAAUCCCAUUUUAGAAUUUAAUAUAGAGAUCUCUGAUUGGCAGGAACACUAGAAAUAAAUGUUCCAUGGCCAGUAGUGCAAAUGGGGGAUUGUAGGUUUUGAAAAACCACCCUAAGCCAUAUUAAGGGGGUUGGAAGAACCAUCGAAGCCUAAGGCAUAGAAGAAAAUUUGGGGUUAAGAAAGAUGAAGAACAAAAAACAGCUUUAUUGCUUAUACAUGACCAAGAAAA